rnacentral:misc_RNA from 1 species
GAUGAAGAACGCAGCGAAAUGCGAUAAGUAGUGUGAAUUGCAGAAUUCAGUGAAUCAUCGAAUCUUUGAACGCACAUUGCGCCCCUUGGUAUCCCGAGGGGCAUGCCUGUUCGAGCGUCAUUUCACCACUCAAGCCUGGCUUGGUGUUAGGCGACGUCCUCUUUGGGGACGCGCCUCGAAACGCUCGGCGGCGUGGCACCGGCUUUAAGCGUAGCAGAAUCUUUCGCUUUGGAAGUCGGGGCCCCGUCUGCCGGAAGACCUGCUCGCAAGGUUGACCUCGGAUCAGGCAGGGAUACCCGCUGAACUUAAGCAUAUCAAUAAGCGGAGGA